AUACUUAACCUAACAGAGAGAUACCAUGAUCAGGCAGGUGGUUUUCCCAGAGCGAGGCUCAUCCAUUGUACUGGCGAUGUGCUGACCCCUGGGAUUUCCCCAAAUGUGGCAAACUUGACUGCAUAACUUGUGGUAGAGGCAAACUGCGUUCACGCGCUCCCCUU